AUCGGGCGUUCCCCUUCGGGGGGACAGGGUGACAGGUGGUGCAUGGUUGUCGUCAGCUCGUGUCGUGAGAUGUUGGGUUAAAGUCCCGCAACGAGCGCAACCCUCGACCUUAGUUGCCAGCAUUCAGUUGGGCACUCUAAGGUGACUGCCGGCUAAAAGUCGGAGGAAGGUGGGGAUGACGUCAAAUCAUCAUGCCCCUUAUGACCUGGGCUACACACGUGCUACAAUGGGCGGUACAAAGGGUCGCGAACCCGCGAGGGGGAGCCAAUCCCAAAAGCCGCUCUCAGUUCGGAUUGCAGGCUGCAACUCGCCUGCAUGAAGCCGGAAUCGCUAGUAAUCGCGGAUCAGCAUGCCGCGGUGAAUACGUUCCCGGGUCUU
rnacentral:rRNA from 1 species